UACAGAGGUGGCAAGCGUUGUUCGGAAUUACUGGGCGUAAAGGGCGCGUAGGCGGCCAUCUAAGUCAGACGUGAAAUCCCCCGGCUUAACCUGGGAACUGCGUCUGAUACUGGACGGCUUGAGUAUGGGAGAGGGAUGUAGAAUUCCAGGUGUAGCGGUGAAAUGCGUAGAUAUCUGGAGGAACACCGGUGGCGAAGGCGGCAUCCUGGACCGAGAUUGACGCUGAGGCGCGAAAGCCAGGGGAGCAAACGGG
rnacentral:rRNA from 1 species